rnacentral:rRNA from 1 species
AAUAUUGGACAAUGGGCGAAAGCCUGAUCCAGCCAUGCCGCGUGUGUGAAGAAGGUCUUCGGAUUGUAAAUCACUUUAUGUUGGGAGGUGGGUCAGUAAGCUAAUACCUUGAUGUUUUGACGUUACCGACAGAAUUAGCACCGGCUUACUUCUUGUCAGCAGCCGCGGUACUACGAAGGGUGCAAGCGUUAAUCGGAAUUACUGGGCGUAUAGCGAGCGGAGGUGAGUUGUUAAGGUGGAAGUGAAAUGCCCGGGCUCAACCUGAGAAAGGCGUUCAAAACUAGAAAGCUAGAGUAGAGCAGAGGAUGGUGAAAUUUCCUGUGAAGCGGUGAAAUGCGUAGAUAUAGGAAGGAACACCAGUGGCGAAGGCGACCACCUGGGCUAAUACUGACAUUGAGGUGCGAAAGCGUGGGGAGCAAACA